CGCACCCCAACCAUGCACGCACGCUCCCGCACACACACCCUCAUGGUGCACGUGCACUCCCCCCCCACACCCGCACCAUCCACACGCACACCUCACCGUGCACAAAGUAAGAACACCCACACCCAGAGGAAACCCGCGCCACGGCACAUCCCGAUACAGUGGCGGAGCCAGUGGGAUGUGCGGUCUUGUCUCUCCCCCAGGAUACCCUGCUGCCUGUCUGAUGCCUCGUUCCUCAGAUACUAUUUCACUUGCUCAAUAACCUGUGUGCACAGAGGGGUAAUCGUACACGACGCGACAGUUUCCGUGUCCCUUUCUGCCUGGCUCUCCCUCCCGUCGCCACCACACCGUCCUCCUUGCUGCCCCUGGCCGCACUAUCGUACGUCCACCCGGACCGCCCUCCGCCCAGAGGCCACGAGAAACGCGUCAACGUGCACGCGCACUCACGCGACGCCCCCUCGUGUCACGGAGCGCAGGGAAGGGGGUUCCUUCACCAGCACGGAAACACCCGGUACGGCUGCUACCUGUCAGGUGCGGGCGCACGGGUCGGGGGCGGGGGGGGGGGGAGGGGAUGGACAGUCCCCAGAGGGGCCCCGCUGACGGGGGAGUGACGCAGAGCAGAGCGGAAGCUCGAUUCACAGGUGGAAGGGUGGAUUAUCGAUUCGUGCCGGGACACUGGAAGGACAUAAACGCGGACUGCCCUCCCUCGAAAACCUCAUUCCGCGUCGUACAGAAGCAUCCUAGACCCGCUCGAGGGCUGGACUCAAGUACACAAGACGAUACGGUGCGAGCCAGGCAAUCAAGGGACAGCCGUGUGAUCGGCCUCCCAGACGCCGGAGCCAGAAGUCGUACAAGACACACAGACACAGUCAAGCGUAAAAGGACUUGAUCCUGAUGAUAAAGGACACACCGACGACAGUGAGCAGCGAACAGCAGGGCAGGGAACAAGCAUGUUCAAGGCGGCAAGGGACCACCAGUCCCUGUAACAAACAGCCCUACAAAUGGGCGACACAGACACAGCCCGGGAGGAACAAGAACGCAGAGACCCUACCUCACCAGCACGCAGGGACACACGCGUCACGUAGCAAAGCCGCGGCCGCGGCCCCUGCACACUGACAGUCGGACAGACCCCGCACGCCCACUGCUGAGAACGCAGGCCGGGCUCAGGGCAGGCGCACGUCCUCACGGGGAAAAGACCAGCCGUUAGAUACGCUGGCAAACCUCUCUGGCAAGAUCUACAAAACAAAGAGACACACGCCCUGCCCCAGUGGCCCCGCUGCCUGAAAUCCACGCACUGAAUAACAGCCUGUGCGUGUGGCCAGGGUAUUUAGGGGAGCACUGUUUAUACUGGCUGUGUAUACUGGCUUCUUUUCCUGUGGCAGCUCGAACAGAGGACCGCAAACUGGGUGGCUCAGAACAACAGAAAUCUAUUCUCUUGCUGUUCUGGAGGCCACGAGUCUGAAAUCGGUUUCACCGGGCUGAGAUGAUGGUGUCAGCAGGGCUGCGGCCCCUCCACAGGCUCCGGACGGGACCCUCCCUUGCCCCUGCCAGCUUCUGGUGGCUGCCCGCAUCCCUUAAUCUGUGGCCACUGGGUUAGUCGGGGUCCCCAGAGGAAAAGCAUCGACAGGACGUGUACACGUAAAGAGAUUUAGUAUAAUAAAUCAGAUCACGCAGUCAUGCAGGCUGAUCGGCCCUGAGAUGUGCAGUCGGCAAGCUGGAGACCCAGGAGGAUAGAUGGUGUCCCAGCUCCAGUCCAGUCCUGAACGCGGGACAGAACCACGACCCAGCCCAAAGCAGCCUAGCAGAGAGGGCGUUCUCCCUUACUCUGCCUCUCUGCUCCAUCCAGGCCCUCAACUGAUUGGACAAGGCCCACCCCCACUGAGGAGGAGUCUGCUUUCCUGGGCCCUCUGAUUCGAGCGCUAAUCUCAUCCAGAAACACCCUCACAGUCAUGCCCAGAAGGCUGCCAGACCAAGUACGUGGGCACCGGCGGCCCGUCAAGCUGCCACCUAAAACCAGCCUUUGUGCCCAAACCACUCUAAUCUCAGCUCCUGUGUUCACGUGACCUUCUCUUGUGUUUCAGCCUCCCUGCCCGCCCCUGCCACCUCCUCCCAGAAGGCCACUGUGAUGGCAUUUCAGGCCCACCCGGCAACCGAGGGUCACCUCCCCACAACAUCCAUAACUGAAUCACGUCGGCGUAGAGCCUGUUUCUAGACAAGGUGGCACUCAAGUUCCAGGGCCUGGGACGUGACUUCUUUGGGGGCCACUCUUCAGCAUGCUACAAGGGACCAUAACACCAAUCCCGGAGCCUGGAUAUAUUUCUGUUCUUGGCACUGAGCCCUCUCCACAGCUGUGAACCUCUCACACACUACACGCCACUGGUCACGGGAAGAUGAACCAGUGCGCACUCGCCUGGGGUGGCAGAGCCCCAGCCAGGACGGUGACUCAGUUUGGCCCAGGCGACAAGACGGGGAAAGCCCACGUGGGAAGCUCACCAACCCCCUCCCCCCCACCAUGACCAGAUUCUCAGCCCCCACACCCCAUGGAGGGCACUGAGGCUCAGCCAAGGGCAGGACGGUUGUUAAAAGGUCGUUGUAAAAAAAAUGACAUGUGAAGAA